UUAAGCGACUAAGCGUACACGGUGGAUGCCCUGGCAGUCAGAGGCGAUGAAGGACGUGCUAAUCUGCGAUAAGCGUCGGUGAGGUGAUAUGAACCGUUAUAACCGGCGAUUUCCGAAUGGGGAAACCCAGUGUGUUUCGACACACUAUCAUUAACUGAAUCCAUAGGUUAAUGAGGCGAACCGGGGGAACUGAAACAUCUAAGUACCCCGAGGAAAAGAAAUCAACCGAGAUUCCCCCAGUAGCGGCGAGCGAACGGGGAGGAGCCCAGAGCCUGAAUCAGUGUGUGUGUUAGUGGAAGCGUCUGGAAAGGCGUGCGAUACAGGGUGACAGCCCCGUACACAAAAAUGCACAUAUUGUGAGCUCGAUGAGUAGGGCGGGACACGUGGUAUCCUGUCUGAAUAUGGGGGGACCAUCCUCCAAGGCUAAAUACUCCUGACUGACCGAUAGUGAACCAGUACCGUGAGGGAAAGGCGAAAAGAACCCCGGCGAGGGGAGUGAAAAAGAACCUGAAACCGUGUACGUACAAGCAGUGGGAGCCUCUUAAUGGGGUGACUGCGUACCUUUUGUAUAAUGGGUCAGCGACUUAUAUUCUGUAGCAAGGUUAACCGAAUAGGGGAGCCGAAGGGAAACCGAGUCUUAACUGGGCGUUAAGUUGCAGGGUAUAGACCCGAAACCCGGUGAUCUAGCCAUGGGCAGGUUGAAGGUUGGGUAACACUAACUGGAGGACCGAACCGACUAAUGUUGAAAAAUUAGCGGAUGACUUGUGGCUGGGGGUGAAAGGCCAAUCAAACCGGGAGAUAGCUGGUUCUCCCCGAAAGCUAUUUAGGUAGCGCCUCGUGAAUUCAUCUCCGGGGGUAGAGCACUGUUUCGGCAAGGGAGUCAUCCCGACUUACCAACCCGAUGCAAACUGCGAAUACCGGAGAAUGUUAUCACGGGAGACACACGGCGGGUGCUAACGUCCGUCGUGAAGAGGGAAACAACCCAGACCGCCAGCUAAGGUCCCAAAGUCAUGGUUAAGUGGGAAACGAUGUGGGAAGGCCCAGACAGCCAGGAUGUUGGCUUAGAAGCAGCCAUCAUUUAAAGAAAGCGUAAUAGCUCACUGGUCGAGUCGGCCUGCGCGGAAGAUGUAACGGGGCUAAACCAUGCACCGAAGCUGCGGCAGCGACACUAUGUGUUGUUGGGUAGGGGAGCGUUCUGUAAGCCUGUGAAGGUGGCCUGUGAGGGUUGCUGGAGGUAUCAGAAGUGCGAAUGCUGACAUAAGUAACGAUAAAGCGGGUGAAAAGCCCGCUCGCCGGAAGACCAAGGGUUCCUGUCCAACGUUAAUCGGGGCAGGGUGAGUCGACCCCUAAGGCGAGGCCGAAAGGCGUAGUCGAUGGGAAACAGGUUAAUAUUCCUGUACUUGGUGUUACUGCGAAGGGGGGACGGAGAAGGCUAUGUUGGCCGGGCGACGGUUGUCCCGGUUUAAGCGUGUAGGCUGGUUUUCCAGGCAAAUCCGGAAAACCAAGGCUGAGGCGUGAUGACGAGGCACUACGGUGCUGAAGUGACAAAUGCCCUGCUUCCAGGAAAAGCCUCUAAGCAUCAGGUAACAUCAAAUCGUACCCCAAACCGACACAGGUGGUCAGGUAGAGAAUACCAAGGCGCUUGAGAGAACUCGGGUGAAGGAACUAGGCAAAAUGGUGCCGUAACUUCGGGAGAAGGCACGCUGAUAUGUAGGUGAAGCGACUUGCUCGUGGAGCUGAAAUCAGUCGAAGAUACCAGCUGGCUGCAACUGUUUAUUAAAAACACAGCACUGUGCAAACACGAAAGUGGACGUAUACGGUGUGACGCCUGCCCGGUGCCGGAAGGUUAAUUGAUGGGGUUAGCGGUAACGCGAAGCUCUUGAUCGAAGCCCCGGUAAACGGCGGCCGUAACUAUAACGGUCCUAAGGUAGCGAAAUUCCUUGUCGGGUAAGUUCCGACCUGCACGAAUGGCGUAAUGAUGGCCAGGCUGUCUCCACCCGAGACUCAGUGAAAUUGAACUCGCUGUGAAGAUGCAGUGUACCCGCGGCAAGACGGAAAGACCCCGUGAACCUUUACUAUAGCUUGACACUGAACAUUGAGCCUUGAUGUGUAGGAUAGGUGGGAGGCUUUGAAGUGUGGACGCCAGUCUGCAUGGAGCCGACCUUGAAAUACCACCCUUUAAUGUUUGAUGUUCUAACGUUGGCCCGUAAUCCGGGUUGCGGACAGUGUCUGGUGGGUAGUUUGACUGGGGCGGUCUCCUCCUAAAGAGUAACGGAGGAGCACGAAGGUUGGCUAAUCCUGGUCGGACAUCAGGAGGUUAGUGCAAUGGCAUAAGCCAGCUUGACUGCGAGCGUGACGGCGCGAGCAGGUGCGAAAGCAGGUCAUAGUGAUCCGGUGGUUCUGAAUGGAAGGGCCAUCGCUCAACGGAUAAAAGGUACUCCGGGGAUAACAGGCUGAUACCGCCCAAGAGUUCAUAUCGACGGCGGUGUUUGGCACCUCGAUGUCGGCUCAUCACAUCCUGGGGCUGAAGUAGGUCCCAAGGGUAUGGCUGUUCGCCAUUUAAAGUGGUACGCGAGCUGGGUUUAGAACGUCGUGAGACAGUUCGGUCCCUAUCUGCCGUGGGCGCUGGAGAACUGAGGGGGGCUGCUCCUAGUACGAGAGGACCGGAGUGGACGCAUCACUGGUGUUCGGGUUGUCAUGCCAAUGGCACUGCCCGGUAGCUAAAUGCGGAAGAGAUAAGUGCUGAAAGCAUCUAAGCACGAAACUUGCCCCGAGAUGAGUUCUCCCUGACUCCUUGAGGGUCCUGAAGGAACGUUGAAGACGACGACGUUGAUAGGCCGGGUGUGUAAGCGCAGCGAUGCGUUGAGCUAACCGGUACUAAUGAACCGUGAGGCUUAACCUU
rnacentral:rRNA from 2 species